ACACGAACCGGACAAACGUUAUUCGGAAUUAUUGGGCUUAAAGGGUGCGUAGGCGGCGCGGUAAGUGAGGUGUGGAAGCCCACGACUCAAUCGUGGAAUUGCGCUUCAUACUGCCGUGCUAGAGGGAGACAGAGGUAAGCGGAACUGAUGGUGGAGCGGUGAAAUGCGUUGAUAUUAUCAGGAACACCGGUGGCGAAGGCGGCUUACUGGGUCUCUUCUGACGCUGAGGCACGAAAGCUAGGGUAGCGAACGGGAUUAGAAACCCCAGUAGUCC
rnacentral:rRNA from 1 species